UACGUAGGGGGCAAGCGUUGUCCGGAUUUAUUGGGCGUAAAGAGCUCGUAGGCGGUCUGUUGCGUCGGCUGUGAAAACCCGGGGCUCAACUCCGGGCCUGCAGCCGAUACGGGCAGACUAGAGUUCGGUAGGGGAGACUGGAAUUCCUGGUGUAGCGGUGAAAUGCGCAGAUAUCAGGAGGAACACCGGUGGCGAAGGCGGGUCUCUGGGCCGAAACUGACGCUGAGGAGCGAAAGCGUGGGGAGCGAACAGG
rnacentral:rRNA from 1 species